ACAUUUCUUAUUAUAUAUAAAUUUUUUAUAUUCAUUUACUUUUCUUAUUAUAUACUUUUUUUUAUGUACAUUUACAUUUCUUAUUAUAUAUAUAUUUUUUUAUAUUCAUUUACAUUUCUUAUUAUAUAUAAAUUUUUUUAUAUUCAUUUACAUUUCUUAUUAUAUAUAAAUUUUUUAUAUUCAUUUACAUUUCUUAUUAUAUAUAUAUAUAUAUAUUUUUUUUUUUUUUUUUUUUUUUUUUAUGCGUGUUGUAAUUUAAACGUGUUAUAAUUUAUAUUAAUAUAUAUUAUGGAAAGGAUUUAUUAAUAUAAGAAAGCAAAUCCGCUGAACUUAAGCAUAUUAUUAAGCGGAAGAAAAGAAAAUAACAAUGAUUCUUUUAGUAACGGCGAGUGAACAAAGAAAAGCUCAACAUGGAAAAUCCGACAGAUAGCUACCCGCGAUUUGUCGGAAUUGUCAAGUUGAAAAACAUUCCAAGAGUUCUUUUUUAUAAUAUGACAAUGAGAAGAAGUAGAUAGAAAUGUCUCUCCUUAGAGGGUGAAAGACCCGUAUUCUUAAUCAUAAAACUGAUCAAUUGGAAUGUUUUGUUUUUGAGUCGUGUUCUUUGAGACUGGAGCACUAAUUAGUGUGAUACAUUUCACAUAAAGCUAAAUAUUUGUAAGAAACCGAUAGUAAACAAGUACCGUGAGGGAAAGAUGAAAUAGUACUCAGGAAUGAGCAAUUAAAUAGUACCUGAAAUCGUUAAGAUGGAACGGAUUAAAAAAGGAAAAAAGUAACAACAUAGUUAAAAUGAGAGAUUUUGGUGCGCGCAAUAAAGAAUGGAGUCCUUAAAAAAGGAUGUAGAUAUUCAAGUAUCAAAACAAAAUUUUUCUUUUUUUAAAAAGAAAUUUUUUGAAGCUUUUGUUAUAAUAUUCAUUUUUAUUCUUAUCCUUUUUUUUAGGUAAGAUAAAAAUGAUACAAAAGUUGUCUUUCAUACUAUAUAUAUAUAUAUAUAUAUAUAAAUAUUAUGUUCUUAUUAAAAGAAACAUGAGUGAAUGAAAAUAAAUAAUCGUGGAGCAAAAAUAAACACAAUAACAAGAAAAAAAAAUAAAAAAAAUAAAAUAAAAUAAUUAAAAUAAAAAUAAAACAAAAAGAAACAAAAAAAAGCAAAAUAUAAAAUAAAAGAAUUAAUUGAAUUUAAUUUCAUUUUAUUUUUUUCCUUUUAUAUUUUGCUUUUUUAUUUUGUUUUAUUUUUAUUUUAAUUAUUAUUUUUUUUUUUUUUUUUUUUUUCCCUUAUUGACUAUUUUUCUAAGCUAAUGUGGAAAAAUAUAACUUGCUUCUUUUUUUUUUUUUCUUUUCUGAAGGGAGAAAAAAAAGAAAAAUAUGAAAGAUACAUUUAUUUAAUUUACUGAGGAUUGUGAAAAUUAUAUUAAUUGUAUAUGAUGCGAAAUAAUAUAAUUUAAGAUGUUUUUAUAAAGUACUUUUUUAACCCACUCGUCUUGAAACACGGACCAAGGAGUCUAACAAAUGUGCAAGUGUAUAUGAUAAGAAUAAACAUAGUAUAAAAAUUUCUACGCAUAAUUAAUGUAACAAAAAUAUAUGUUUAUUAAUUGUAGAUUUUGUGGGGUUUUAAAUUUUUUUUAUAAAUCCACACAAAUGCAUACAAUACCGGUGAGCAAUUAUGCUUUAUUGAGUAAGAGCAUACUUGUUAGGACCCGAGAGGCUUUGAACUAAACGUGAUGAGAUUGAAGUCAGAGUAAAAUCUGAUGGAGGAUCGAGUUGAUACUGACGUGCAAAUCGUUCAUUUCAAUUGCGUUUAGGGGCGAAAGACUAAUCGAAAAGCCUAUUAGCUGGUUAUUUUCGAAAGAUCUCUCAGGAUCGCUGGAGUUGAUUAUAAUAUAGUUUUACCUGGUAGAAAUAAUGAUUAGAGGAUUCAAGGAGAUGAUAAUUCCUUGACCUAUAUAUAUCGAAAGAUUCAAUAGGUAAAAAAAUGAGGAAAUAACUUUAUUGUAUUUUCAUUCAUAUUUAAAAAUAAGAUAACUCCAAGUUGGCCAUUUUUGGUAAGCAGAACUGGCGAUGAGGGAUGCUCCUAACGCUUGGAUAAGGUGCCUAAAUAUCCGCUCAUUAGAUACCAUUAAAAAGGUGUUGGUUUGUGAUUACAGUAGGACGGUAUUCAUAGAAGUUGAAAUCCGCUAGGAAGUGUGUAACAACUUACCUACCUAAUAAACUCGCCCUGAAAAUGGAUGGCGCUAAAGCGGAUUACCGAUACCAAGCCAUAAAAAAGAAAAAAAAAAAAAAUUCAAUAUUUUUUUUAUUUUUUUAGAUUCUUUUUAUGAGUAGAAAAUCGUGGGGUUUUGUGUUGAAGCGAAAUACGUGAGUUUUCGUGGAACAUCUCCCUAGUGCAGAUCUUGGUGGAAGUAGCAAAUAUUCUUAUGAGAACUUUGAAGACUGAAGUGGAGAAGGGUUUUUUGUAAACUAUGUUUGAGCAAAAGUUAGCCGUUCCUAAGAGAUAGCUGAAAAGCGUUAUAAAUUGAGGUUACCUAUUAUAUGAAAAGUAUAGUAGUGUUUUUUCUCUUCUCGAAAGGGAAGCAGGUUGAUAUUCCUGCGCCAUAUGUAAUAAGAACUAAUAAAUAGAGAUGGUAACAUAUAUAUAAAUAAAUGAACUCCUUAACAUAGGCCUUACGCUUGGAGUGCGUUAUCUUUGCACUUUAACUUUAUAUCAAACCUUCGAAAUCGAUUUACUUGUAGAAAAGGUUCGAUGAAUUUACAAUAAGCAAUUUAUUUAUUAUAUGCGUGGACCGGUACACAUGAUAUAUAUAUUAAUGAAUUGUUUUGUAGUAAUAGUAAUUCGUUUGUUGUACGAAUUAUCCAAAGUUGUAUGGACUAUCCAUGAAAAAAGGAGGGAACACUAAAUUAAAUGGGAAUGUAUAAAAUACUAUAAAAGUAUGAAAGAAGAAAAAGUAAAGAAAGGAAAGAAAAAAAAAUAUUAACCUUCAGCUUUUUUUUCUAUUUUUUUUUUCUUUUUUUGCUUUCAUAUAUUUUUAUAGUGUUUUUACAUUAACCAUUUUUUUUUUUAUAUUCUUAAAUUACAAUUAUAAAAAUGAACGUACCAAUAACCGCAUCAGGUCUCCAAGGUUAGUAGCCUCUGGUUAAAUAGAAAAACGUAGGUAAGGGAAGUAAGCAAAUUAGAUCCGUAACUUCGGGAAAAGGAUUGGCUCUGAUAACACAAAAUGAGAAGAAAAAAAUGAAAAGAAAAAAAUGAAAAGAAAAAAAUGAAAAGAAUUGUGGUUGAAAAUAAAAAUGUUAAGAUGUUUAUUUAUAUAUUUAUAUUAGUUUUUCUUAUAUUUUAAGAUUAAUUAAUUAAUUAUAUAUUUAAUAUGUUAAAAUGUUUUAUAUUUCUUCUUCUACUCUAUUCUAUUCCAUUCUAUUCUAUUCUAUUUUUUUUUUUCUCUUUCUCUUCGAUAUUACAUAUAUUUUGUUAUUAUAAUAAAAAUUAUGUAAUAUUGUUUAGCUGUGUUUAUUCAGAACUGAAACGGACAAGGGGAAUCCGACUGUUUAAUAAAAACAUAGCAUUGUGAAAAGCUAUAACUGGUAUUAACACAAUGUGAUUUCUGCCCAGUGCUUUGAAUGUCAAGUUGAUGAAAAUUUCAAUUAAGCGCAGGUAAACGGCGGGAGUAACUAUUAUGACUCUCUUAAGGUAGCCAAAAAUGUAUGGUCGAUAAAAAGGACCAUCAGGAAUGGAUUAACGAGAUUCCUACUGUCCCUACUUGCGAUCUAGCGAAACCACAACCAAGGGAAAGGGCUUGGUAAAAUCAGCAGGGAAAGAAGACCCUGUUGUGCUUUACUCUAGUCUGACUUUGUAAAAAGAUUUAAGAGGUAUAGUAUAAGUGGUAGUAGAAAUUGAAAUAAUGUUUUUACGUCAGUGAAAUACCACUACUUUUAAAAAGUUUUUACUAAUCCAUUUAUCUAGUGAAUGACUAUUAUAUAAAUAUAUAUAUAUAUAUAUUUUCUAUAUUUUAUGUGUAUCACUUUUUAUGGAGACAGAGUCAGGUGGGGAGUUUGACUAAGGUGGUACAUCUGUUAAAAAAUAACGCAGAUGUCCAAAGAUAAGCUCAAGGAGAACAGAAAUCUCUUGUAGACUAAAAGGGGAAAAGCUUGUUUGAUUUCUAUUUUCAGAAAGAAUAGAAAACGUGAAAGCGUGGCCUAUCGAUCCUUUAUAUUUGCAAAAUGACGUAAAAUUAUUUACUACUGUGCAUAUAAAGGUGUCUGAAAAGUUACCACAGGGAUAACUUGUUUGUGGCUGCUUAGCGAUAUUAGCAACGUGGCUUUUUGUAUUUUCGAUUACGGCUCUUCCUAUCAUUGGGACGCAGAAGUCUCAAAGUGUCGGAUUGUUCACCCGCUAAUAGGGAACGUGAGCUGGGUUUAGACCGUCGUGAGACAGGUUAGUUUUACCCUACUGAUGAAUAUUAUUAUAUUAUUAUAUAUAUAUAUAGUAUUGUGACAGUAAUCCAACUUGGUACGAGAGGAUUAGUUGGUUCAGACAAUUGGUACAGCAAUUGGGUUGAUAAACCAGUGUUGCGAAGCUACGUCUGUUGGAUAAUGACUGAACGAUUCUAAAGUCAGAACCCAUACUGAUUAAACAAUAAUAUAAUUGUAUAUUUUUGUCAUAAGGUUGUGUUUUAUUUUUUUUUAUUGCUAAUGUAAAAGAGAAAUUUAAUAUAUGCGUUAAUCUAUAUAUAUUAUGUAUAGAUUUUCAUAAACAUAUAAAUAAUCCCAUAAAGACGUAUCUUUUUUUUUUCUAAACAAAGAAAAAUAUGUUCUUUUUAUUGUAAUUUAACAACAAAAAUAAUCUAAAGUAUAUUGUAGACGACAUUUUUAGCCUCAGAGUGCUGUAAACAUGUGAGCAAACUUGUUUUGCGAACUGUUCAGGCUUAUCUCUUGUGGUUUUUGCUUUUAUAAAAAAAAACAUCUACAAAAUGAAAAUAUUGAAAUUGUUGCAAAUAUAAAAUACGUGUAUUUAUUAUAUAUGUAACAAUUUUAUUAUUCAUAUAACAAUUAUUAAUGUAUCAAUUUUUUUUUUUUUUUAACUUUAUUUUUUUAUUUAUUUAUAGGUAUAUAUAUAUAUAUAUAAUUGGACAAAUCUUUCAUAGGAAAUUAUAUAUUUUUAUAUAUUUAUUGCAUAUAUCAAAUAUUCAUAAUAUAUCACCACAUAGAUGAUAAAUAAAUAAAUAAAUAAAUAUAUAUAUAUAUAUAUAUAAUAUUUUGUUUAUGUUUUUAUAAAACGUUAAAAACAUUAUAUAUUUUAUUUUUAUUUAAGAAAAACUUUUUAUUGUUUUCCUAGAAUGAAAGUGAAAAUAUUAAGAACAUUUUUAAUAGAAUGUAUGUCUAUCUAUGUAUGUAAUAUUUUAAUUAUAUAAUAUAGUUUUAUGUUUGAUUAUCUUGAUGCAUAAAAUUUUAAUAUAUAAUUAUAGAUAUUUAAUUAAAAAUUUGACAAAUAAAUAGAAAAUGUUAUUUAUUUGUUUAUUAUUUUUUUUUUAUUUUCUAAAUGAUCAUAUAUAUAUAUAUAUAUAUUAAAAAUGAUAACUUUUAUAUAUGUAUGUUUUAUCUAUGUAGAACUUAUUACAUACAUGAAAUAUAUAAUAUACAUCAUUAAUUAUAUAAUAUAAAAGUACAUCAUGUUAGAAAUAAAAUUUUAAGUUUAAUACGAUAACGAGUUAUAUACUUAUAUAUUUUAAUAUAACUAUUUUGUAUAAUAUAAAGGGGGGUUGUCUAUUAAAAAUUAUAUAUUAUCUUUAUAUGUGUUUGAUUUGGAAAAUUACAGGAUUAUUAUAUUGUUAUUAUUAUAAAGUGUAUACGAUUUAAAUAAAUAUAUAUAUAUAUAAUUUUUGUAUUAUGUAAUAUUGAUAUAAUCACAUGUUUAUUAAUUGAUAAUAAUAAUGAUAAUAUUAUAAUAUAAUAUAAUUUUAUGAAGCUAUUUAUAUUUUAUUGUAUUUUUUUAGAUAUCAUAGCUUCUAGUAAGAGUUUAGAUUCACUCAAUAAAUUUUCCUCUUCUUCAUAGGAUAAGCAUAUAAAAUUAUUUUUCAAUAAACUUUUGAUAAAAUAAAAAAAGAGUUCCUCUUUUUUUGAUACAAUUAUUUUAUUUUCUGUACUUAUAUUUUGAAUAUUAUCAUAAAUUUCUUUAAAUAUAUAUUUUUUAACAUUUUCAUACGUUACAUCUCUAUAAUAGUAACUAUUAAGUCUAAAAGGUUCUCCUGGUAACAAUUCAUAAUAUUCUUCUUGAUUAUCUGAAGAAUCUUUUAAAUCGUAGAGUUUAAGAAAUUCGUCAUAAUUUCUUGUCAUUUUAAAAUUUUCAAAAACCUUUGUGUGUUUUUUUUUAUAUGGUCCGAUAGGACUAUAUUGAUAUCUAUUACUUGAUGAUAAUGAUAUAUUUUCAACAUCUUCUAAAAUAUUAAAUGAUUCUUCUGUAUCAUUUGAAAAAAUAUGAUUCACGGAAUAAUCUUCAUUAACAUAUUCAUAAUCACUUGUAUCUUCAUCACUGUUCUCAUAUAAUUGAAGUUCACCAAAAGAAAUAUCUAAAUUAUCUUCUGAGUUAGUACUGUAUAACAAUAAUUCAUCCAUCGUAUUACUAUUAGUACUAAUAAGACUAUUUGAUGAAUCUUGAUUUUUGAGUUCAUUUGAAUUUGUUUUAAUAUUUUGUGUGAAGGUAUUUAUUUCAUUUUCAUUAUUAUGAUGAAUAGUAUUGUUAUUUUGAUUUGUUUGUUGCUCUAAUUUAUUGUUCAUUUCUUUUUUUAAUUUUUUUUUUUUUAAUUUUGAGAUUUCUGUAAUUAUAUUAUCAAGGUCUAUCAUAGUAGAAGAAGGAGAGGGGUGGUCUAUGUUAGUUGAUCUUGUUAAAUCAGAAUUAUUUUUGACUCCUUCAAGUAUUUCAUAUUCUUCUUCAUCAUCUAUUAAAUUUGGUACUUCAGAGGGGCUUAAACCAAAUAUAUCAUUUGUAUUAUUAUUAUUACUAUUAUUUUUUUUUAAUGUAUUCGUUCUUGU
rnacentral:rRNA from 1 species